rnacentral:rRNA from 1 species
AAAUUGAAGAGUUUGAUCAUGGCUCAGAUUGAACGCUGGCGGCAGGCCUAACACAUGCAAGUCGAACGGUAACAGGAAGAAGCUUGCUUCUUUGCUGACGAGUGGCGGACGGGUGAGUAAUGUCUGGGAAACUGCCUGAUGGAGGGGGAUAACUACUGGAAACGGUAGCUAAUACCGCAUAACGUCGCAAGACCAAAGAGGGGGACCUUCGGGCCUCUUGCCAUCGGAUGUGCCCAGAUGGGAUUAGCUAGUAGGUGGG